UUGCAGUGCUAGUCACCAGACUGAGGGACUCAGGACAGGGAAAUCUGUCCCUGUGCUCUGGGGUAAUAGAUACGGCUGGAAAAGGGAUGCCUACAGCACAGCUUGCUCCCCCCGCCCCUUUAAAAGCACGAUAAAAUGGGAUGUCCCAUUCAGUUUCCUGGUCAGUAAUAUCAGUUAUUUCCUAAUAGGUAAAAAGGUCUUUCAUAACUCUACGGGCCAACAUGUAACCCCCAGAAGCCUCACAUUUCAAGAGAUUACUAAGUGAUACUCAGGAUAUCUACAAAGAUUCCUUCAUUCACUCAACUCUAAAUUUAGAUCUUUACAAAGUUUACUAAAUCCGGAGAACAACCGUUUCUAUAGCAUGGGUGCCAGCGUCUUGGUGGACACAAAUCAGAAUCCCAAUGGUUCAUUUUUUCCCGGGACAGAAAACCAUGACGGGCUUCGCACCCUGAAAAUGUUGGAAGAGGGUCCUGCGCUGCAUACGGUACUGGUCGCUCCAGGAAAGGUGAAUCUGGGGCAGAAAACUGCAGGCAGGACUCACAGCAGUUAUCAGCCCCCGCAAGACGAACCCCAGACCUUUCAAAAAGCCAAACCACCCUGCAAAGUGGCAACUGAAAGGCAUUUGUGGGGAGUGGCUGUCAGAGAGCAAUUGCCGCCGUUUGUUGCUAGCACACUAAUUAAGCUGCUCCGCACGCAAAGUUAAAGCGCUCAGAUCCACGAUCUGGCUCAUUUUCCAAACUGGUUACGUCGGGGUCAUGGUAACACUAGGCAGGCGGGAGCCCGGAGCGAGCCAAGAGCACCGACUCCGACCCGGUUGGGCGCCUUCCGCCCCGCAGCUGCAUUCUCCAAAAGUUAUUUUUUCUUUGAAAAGGGCACUUGAAACUCCCAGUGGCUUGGAGCCCUUGAGCAUCGAGGCCACAGGCACCAGAGAUGAGGGGACCGGGGGCGCGGUAGGCUGGGGGCCAGGGGAAGGCGCCACAAGGGUGCUUCCCAGGAAGUAAGGGUCCCCGACUCCACGAAGACGUCCUCACCCCAGAGGAGCCCUCACGGGGGCUCCUUCUCCGGGAUCGGGGGCCUCUCCCGAGGGGGCGCCAAGCUGAGGCCGAACCCGCGUCCUGGACGCCCGGGCGAGGCGGGCACAGGGACCCAGAGAGAGACCCCAGACCACGUGGCCGGUUCCGGCGUCGGGCCGGUCCGAAGACACUCACCAAGUCGCACACCGCGUCGGAAAAGGGAGGGCGCUGGAGAGACGAAGUUUAAAAGGGGCUUGGGCGGUCGGCACCCUGAGGCAACCAACCAAAAAUUACCCCCAGCGCCCCUCCCGGCCUAGUAACCGCCCCGCCUGCGCCGCCCAGAGGCUCGCGCGCGCCCCCUGCCGGCGACUCACGUACCCCAGCCCUGGCCUCGGAGCCGGUGGACUCAGCACGCUUGCCUGAACACCUCUCUGUGUGGGUGUUCAUUUAUACCACGCUGCAGGUUUGAUGAAGCUCCUGGCAUCAAAUCAAAUAAUGUUAGCCUGUACAGUGGAGAAUCCCUGUUCUCCAUCAUACUCCUGUCUAGAAGCAAACGGAAGGUCUUCCAUGGGGAGCUCUGUGGAUGUGACCUGGCCACUGUUUCCAAAAGGACGAGGAGAGGAACACUUGCAGGUGCACAAUAAAACACGGGUAAGGAUAAAGUGCGUUCCAGGCUGAAGGAAGUCCCAAAGCACUGCCUCGGGCAUCCCAUAAUCAGCAAACCCCAGCGAUUCCUAAAACUUAGGAAAGUAAA